rnacentral:misc_RNA from 1 species
CAUGAGAUGUGAUGGACCUGUGACUGCCAGGAGGCCCCCUGGCCACUUGUGCGGCUGACUCCUGGUGCCUGUGUCCCUUCAGUUGUGCGGGCACUAUGCCUGCGCCAUUGACGAGUGUUUGCGUGGUGCUACCCGUGCCUCGGGAAGUUGCAUUGUCAACAUGUUUCCUUCGUUGCGUGCACCCUCUGGGCUGUACGCGUCGACUAUAUAGCACUAGCGGCGUUGCCUCAUGGUACAAACCACAUAGGCUUGCACCACCAUGGCCACCUCGCCUGUGCUAUUGGUCUUGGAUGACGCUUACGCUGCAGUACGAGGCUGCUUCGGCGCCUCGUGCCUAAAAAAGUUGGCAAUUCUGAAACAACGACAGCCGGCUCGGUUGAUGCCCUGUGCAUAAGCCGAUGUUGGCUCGUCGAUGAGGACGUGCU